AUCUUCUUCCUGCCCUCGCCGUGGCGGGCGACGGUUUCUCGCGCCGUGGCUGGCUCGGCCGGCCGGGGCACCGCGCCGGGCUCCAUGCAGCCGGGCUGCGCGGUCCCGCAGAGCGGGCGCCUCCGGGGCUCGAGUCGGGGACCCGGCAGGAGCGGGCCGGGGAUGGCGGCGGCGGGCGGCGGGUCGGCCGUGGAGCCCCGGAGAGGCGGCCGCCACCACCGCUGCCCGCAGUCUGCGAGGUGUCCGGCGGUCCGCUCAGGGCCUCUUUUGCAGACUCGGUGCCCGGAGUGCGCCGGCGCCGCCCGCCAGGUCUUGGCACUGCUGGCGCGGCCGCGGCGGCGGGGGCCCGGCUCCAGAUCACCGACCCCCACGAGCGCCGGCCCUGCCUGCCCGCUAUUUUGGUUCCAUCUCUUCUGCAUAUUUAUGCUUGCCUGUUACAUUCCCUGGCCUCUGAGUGUCCUUUGGCAGUUUCCAAAGCAUUUGGGCAAGAAGGAGCUUGGGCAGCUUCACAACAGGUGGGGACGCGCAGGGGAGGGGCCGCGGCCGGACCGGCAGAGUUUCAAGGGCUGGCGCGCCGGCGGACUUUCCACACUGUCUUUCGGGACUGGGGUUAGGAGACAGCCCUUGGCCACCACUGUGUCCUUACUUUGUCGCUUUACUUGGGGCUGGACCUCCCCUUUCCAGCUCUGGCGUGUGACCCCGCAACGAGCGUGGUGUCGAGACCACCACCAGCUGGGGCGGUGGGAGCGAAGGUGCCCCAGGCUCGGGGAAGGUGGAAACCUUUUCCCCGCUCCCCAAGUGAUUGUUGCGCGCUCCGGUGAGGGGACAGUGGUACCUCGAUUUCCCGUGUGCCAGCUUCGGGACUCAGCUGUGCUUUUGUGUCUCUUUGAUUAGCAAAAGCAAAACGAAUUCCUCCCCGAACACUAAGCUUCCUGGAAACUUCCCUAGACCUAAACUUGAGAACCGCAUAUAAAUGGGCCUUGAGGGUUCUGUCGUCAGUAGCGGGUUACGUGAUUGCAAACGAGCAAGUUUAAAACGGAGUGGGCUUUGGGCUGCAGAGCCGCCUGGCAUUCUGACAGCUGAGCAGGAGGCAGAGGUGAGAGUCCAAGAUGGACUAAAAAUGUCCCAGCAGCUGGGAGCCCAACCUCGGCCCAACCUCGUUGAAAGGAGGAACAUUCGGUGCAGCCGUCGGAACCUUAUUAUUUAUGAAAGGGGACAGCUCACAGGAUUACAUUUUUCUAAGCCAAUCCUGUGACCAUCCUCCAUGAAAUUCUCUAUUUUGGUUGCAUGUGGUCAAAACUGAGCCUCACUGAAACAAUUGAAAACAAAUACUCCCGACAAAUCUUAAGAAUCGUUUUGAAAAUCAAAAGGUUUAUUGGGCACUUCCUAGCACCAGGCACUGCAAUAAGAAAUGGAGGUUAAACCAUGAAGAAACAUGGCUCUAGCCCUUAGGGAGCUCCCGGUCCUGCAGGUUUUCACUAUUUAUUUAUGACAAAUAUUCCACAUCCGUGAUUCUCUCUAGUCAAAACUUCUUUGAGACGAUGCUGUCGGCCUUGGCCAAUCGGAGAAUCGAAUCAUCUGACUCACCCAUCCUAUCGCCCCGCAGAUAGCAUAAGUUUUAAACUGGCCAUUAAACCUGCCCGUGACCUUGUCAGCCUCGGCCACGUUCAUCUGGAUGGAUGCGUGGUCCUUGGCACCGAUGAUGCGGUUGCUAGCGGAGCAUUUCCGCGGAACUUACAGGUCCACGAACUCGCCGGCGUUGUUCUGCAUUUCGAGGCUCCGCCUGCUGCCACCACACCGCGCACGCGAGAGAAAGCCGAGGGUUUGUCCUCUUAUGCCAAGUUAGGGCAGCCCUCAAAGCAGAUCUCGAAGGGAAGACGUCUACCGAGAGCGGAUUUUGAUGUAUCACUCCAUGAGACUGGUGCCUUUCUCUAGCCUGGAGAAUUCCAAGGGUGCAAAGCUGGCUGAAGCUAUUUGAGACGGCUGGUGAGGAUUUGGGCCAGCAGAGGGGUAAGCGUUCAGGACUCGCAGAGUUUGAAUGAGCAAGCAUGUCUGAGUGGACCCCAUGGAAAGCAUUCAGGCUUUAGUUGUCUUAAAACGGCCAUACCCAGAGCAAGUGUAAAGGCAGUUGUGGAAAAUAAUAUAAACCAGUUACAAUAGCAUUCUUGGAGUGCUUACCCAGGUACUAGGGAUUAUUUUAUUAAUCCUCACAACCACCCUAAAAAAGCAUUACUUUCAUUCCCAUUUUUCAGAUGAGAAAACGGAGGAGUGAGGUCGUUAUUUUCUCAAGAUCAUAGAAUUAGCAUGGUUCAUAACUGGUAUUUAAAUAGCAGAUCCUUGUAUGUAUUAGCUUGGUGUUGAUCCCAUCUAUCUGUGGUUGGUUCCCAGAUUUACUACCUCCAGCUUUGGUUUCAUUCCCUCCUGAACUCAAGACCUGUAUAUCCAACUGCUUACUUGAUAUUUCCAUUUGGGUAUGUCAUAGCCAGUGGAAAACACUGGGUAAUUUAUGAGGAUAAGAGGUUUAGUUGACCCACAGGUCCACAGGCUGUACAGGAAGCAUGGCUGGGAGACCUCAGGAAACUUAAAAUCAUGGCAGAAGGUGAAGGGGAAGCACUUGCUCUCCUCUCUGCCUAGAGGGCUAGAGGAAAGUUCCUGAUUGCAACUUACCGCUACCUUGCUCUUCCCUAUCUUGGUUGCUUGAGUCACGUCUCCUUUCCCUUACCUUCUCCCUUUGUCUGACAUACCCAGUUGCUGUAGAACUUGAAUCCAUUGACUUCUCUCCAUUUCCACUGUCAUUUUAUGAGUGCAACCCACAUCACCCCACUGCUUUUAUUCUUCCCUCUCAGCCCACUCUCCACAGUAGAGAGAGAAUUAUUUUCAUCUCCCUUUACUGGCUUGUCAUUUAUCUGGGAAUAAAAUCCAAACUGCACCACGGAGCCUUGGAAGGCCUGGCUGCUCCUCCCCUCGCAGUUCUCCAUGGCUCACUGGACUUUAGCAGCUCUGGCCUCCCUUCUGUUCCCUAGGAACCUUGGCCUUUGCACUUGUUCUCCUCUCUGCCUAGAGGGCUCUUUUUCUCAUCUCUUUGCAUAGCUGGGUCAUCCUCAUCCUUUAGGUCUCAACUGAAAGGUCACCUUCUCACUGCUACUCCCAGCUACUCAUUCUCUUUCCCAUGUUUAUCUUUGUCAUAGUCCUUCAAACAAUUGGUAAUUAAUUUGCUUAUUUUAAAAAACUUGUUUGUUAGAUGUGUUUAUCCUGUUUCCUCCUCCCAACUAUGAUCUAAGCUCUCUGAGAAGGGGCCUCACUUACCUUCAUGUUCAUCACUGUAGUGCCACAAUCUAGCAAAUUGCCUGGCAUAUGGAGGUGCUCAGCAAAUACCUGUUAAAUAAAUGAAUGAAUUUUUUUGUAAGUGUUUGUUGUAUAAAAGAAUGAAGAGAGAACCAAGUGCCAGAUGUCAUACACCAUAUAUAGUGGAUUUUUAACCUGGUUGGAGUGGGCAGAAUGUUGUGGGAGCUAAAACAUACAGUUAUCAUACUUAUGACAAUCGUAUCUCUUAUAGACAUUUAAAAAGCACCACCCAUACUUAUUCCAGCAUUCAAAAAAUAUUUAUUAUUUUCUUAUGUUCUAGGCACUAGGUUGGUGGCUGGAGAUGCGGUGAAAUAGACAUAGUCCCUCUCCUCAAAGCUUAUGGUCUAGCAUUCCUCCCUGGACAAGAGUAGGGAAAAGUUGGGAGAGGAGACAGAAUCAGGUCAAGCUUUCCCUUCUUCUCUAUAAUAUCCCUAGCAAGAUAUAUCAAUGUAGAAAUCUUAAAUAAAAUUUAUAAGAAAAACACAGAAAGAGUCUCCAAAGGCUAGCAAAAUGCCCAUCCUUUAAACAGAAUAAUUAGCAAAGAGAAAUUGGAGCAGAGCUUCGUUUAGAAAACAGUUGGUUUUUGGUAUGAAUUUGUCACUUUUCUAAUGUGAAAAAUAUAAGAUGCCAACGCCAAAACUGAAAGUCAGGACUCAAGAUACUUGUAUCCAUUUAGAAAUUACUAUAGCCCUGUUAUUCAGUACUUCUGCCAAUAUCAACUUCUAAUGCAAGGGAACUUGGAACAAUGGAGAAAACAGUGGAAAAGUUGGAAUUGGAUAACCUGGAUCAGAGUCCUUGCCCUGUUCCUACAGCUCUUUAGCCUUAAGGAUGUGUCCUAACCUUUUCCAGUCCCAGUUGACUUGUCCAUCUAAUGGGGAUGAAAAGAGAAUAUAUCUCAAGACAUUUUUGUAGAUCAAAUUGGCAAAUCCAUGUUAUGUGUUUAGCAUAGUGCCUGUCAUCUAGCAUACAGAAUAAUAUAUAGUAAUAAUAUAAUUAUAGUGAUAUAAUUAUUAUAUUAGUGAUUAUAAUUAUUAUAACUAAUAAUAUAGCACAGUAAUAAUAUAUGAAUAUAAUAUAUAAUAUUGCUAAUAUUGUAAUUUUUGGUGAAAUUUAUUAUAGUACCACCCAAAGUUAGGGACUGUCAUGAGGAAUAAAUGAUGUGUGCAUAUACUUUUGUGUAAAUACCUAUCACAGUGAUUGGAACAUAGCAGGGCUAAAUGAAUAGUUGUUGAAUAAGCUAAUGUAUUGGGGAAGCUACAAAGGGUAGAUUGUUAUACAAAUGCUUGUACUUCUUAUUUUUAACAAAAAUAGAUUGAGCAAUCAGAAUCUCUCUAUGAGCAAACAAAGGAGGUCAAAAGAUGCUCAAAAAUGUCCCUAUUGAUCAAGUAUGUUAUUAGAAUAUUUAGCAAUCAAUAGGGCAUGGAUGCUGCCCGACUGGAAUAAAUGCUGGCAGUAGCUCCUGAUGAGGGUCCUAAGGGCCCCAACUCUGCCAUGCAUUAUCCCUUUAGUUAGAAAUUGUGGAAAGGUCUUGGAGGGGUCCUAAGAGUGUACCAGAGAAGAGGAAGUGGUAGUAUGGGGUGAAGGUGUUUGCAUAGGAUAGCAGCCAUGUUCCAACAAGUACAAAGCAAUUUCACUAUCUUAAUAUCUGGUUUAGCUGUGCUGGUGCUUCUGAUCUAAAGUAGCUCUGCCCCACAAACAAAAUCCUACAUAACUAGAGUUGAAAAGAGAGACAAUAUAUCCUGUAUAUACUAUGUUCCUCAAUUCACUUCCCAUCCUAAACACAGGGACAAGGAUUUGUUUGCUUGAAAGUAAUGAUCUGUCAACAAACUGGGUCAAAGAAAAGACCCUGGCAGCUUAGCCUGAGGAGAAGGGUGCUAGUAUCACAUCACGCAUCUAUAAAAUGUGGGCCGCUUUUGGAAAUACGUGGGUGAGUUGCCAAUUGCAUCAGCCUAGCUGUUGCAGUUCUUGAUAAUUAUUAGUCAUCUUUGUUCCAGCAAAAUCCUCAUCAUUCUCAAUAGAUUAGAGGCUAAAUUUCAAAUCCACUUUAGUAAAAAUCUUUACAAUUGGACUGUUAGAAACCUUGCAUUAUUUGAACAAAAGUGACGUAUUUGAAGAUCAGUGGGAAAGUUGGAAAAUAAACCAAUUCCUGCUCACUAAUUAUUUUUUUAAAUGCCAUGA
rnacentral:lncRNA from 1 species